ACUCUAAGCGGUGGAUCACUCGGCUCAUGGGUCGAUGAAGAACGCAGCAAACUGUGCGUCAUCGUGUGAACUGCAGGACACAUGAACAUCGACAUUUUGAACGCAUAUCGCAGUCCAUGCUGUUAUGUACUUUAAUUAAUUUUAUAGUGCUGCUUGGACUACAUAUGGUUGAGGGUUGUAAGACUAUGCUAAUUAAGUUGCUUAUAAAUUUUUAUAAGCAUAUGGUAUAUUAUUGGAUAAAUAUAAUAAUUUUUAUUCAUAAUAUUAAAAAAUAAAUGAAAAACAUUAUCUCACAUUUGAAUGUGAAAAACGAAGAGAAAUAUUUUCUUUUUCAAUCAAAUAAUACUGAGAAAUGUCUAGCAUAAAAAAUUGAAAUAUUUUUCAUCUAGAAUUGUCUCUUAUUAAUGAUUCGGAAAUAGAAAAAUCUUGGUUAUGUUAUUAUUCUUCGUUGGUUCGUUAAAAAUGGAUAAAUAAAAACUUUGCAUACAAGAAUUAAUAAAAAUGUUAUAACGAAUUUAAUUAAAUGUUUUAUCAUUAUAUAUAAAGAAUUUAUGGCAAGAUAAAGUUAUAUACAACCUCAACUCAUAUGGGACUACCCCCUGAAUUUAAGCAUAUUAAUUAGGGGAGGAAAAGAAACUAACAAGGAUUUUCUUAGUAGCGGCGAGCGAAAAGAAAACAGUUCAGCACUAAGUCACUUUGUCUAUAUGGCAAAUGUGAGAUGCAGUGUAUGGAGCGUCAAUAUUCUAGUAUGAGAAAUUAACGAUUUAAGUCCUUCUUAAAUGAGGCCAUUUACCCAUAGAGGGUGCCAGGCCCGUAUAACGUUAAUGAUUACUAGAUGAUGUUUCCAAAGAGUCGUGUUGCUUGAUAGUGCAGCACUAAGUGGGUGGUAAACUCCAUCUAAAACUAAAUAUAACCAUGAGACCGAUAGUAAACAAGUACCGUGAGGGAAAGUUGAAAAGAACUCUGAAUAGAGAGUUAAACAGUACGUGAAACUGCUUAGAGGUUAAGCCCGAUGAACCUGAAUAUCCGUUAUGGAAAAUUCAUCAUUAAAAUUGUAAUAUUUAAAUAAUAUUAUGAGAAUAGUGUGCAUUUUUUCCAUAUAAGGACAUUGUAAUCUAUUAGCAUAUACCAAAUUUAUCAUAAAAUAUAACUUAUAGUUUAUUCCAAUUAAAUUGCUUGCAUUUUAACACAGAAUAAAUGUUAUUAAUUUGAUAAAGUGCUGAUAGAUUUAUAUGAUUACAGUGCGUUAAUUUUUCGGAAUUAUAUAAUGGCAUAAUUAUCAUUGAUUUUUGUGUUUAUUAUAUGCACUUGUAUGAUUAACAAUGCGAAAGAUUCAGGAUACCUUCGGGACCCGUCUUGAAACACGGACCAAGGAGUCUAACAUAUGUGCAAGUUAUUGGGAUAUAAACCUAAUAGCGUAAUUAACUUGACUAAUAAUGGGAUUAGUUUUUUAGCUAUUUAUAGCUAAUUAACACAAUCCCGGGGCGUUCUAUAUAGUUAUGUAUAAUGUAUAUUUAUAUUAUUUAUGCCUCUAACUGGAACGUACCUUGAGCAUAUAUGCUGUGACCCGAAAGAUGGUGAACUAUACUUGAUCAGGUUGAAGUCAGGGGAAACCCUGAUGGAAGACCGAAACAGUUCUGACGUGCAAAUCGAUUGUCAGAAUUGAGUAUAGGGGCGAAAGACCAAUCGAACCAUCUAGUAGCUGGUUCCUUCCGAAGUUUCCCUCAGGAUAGCUGGUGCAUUUUAAUAUUAUAUAAAAUAAUCUUAUCUGGUAAAGCGAAUGAUUAGAGGCCUUAGGGUCGAAACGAUCUUAACCUAUUCUCAAACUUUAAAUGGGUAAGAACCUUAACUUUCUUGAUAUGAAGUUCAAGGUUAUGAUAUAAUGUGCCCAGUGGGCCACUUUUGGUAAGCAGAACUGGCGCUGUGGGAUGAACCAAACGUAAUGUUACGGUGCCCAAAUUAACAACUCAUGCAGAUACCAUGAAAGGCGUUGGUUGCUUAAAACAGCAGGACGGUGAUCAUGGAAGUCGAAAUCCGCUAAGGAGUGUGUAACAACUCACCUGCCGAAGCAACUAGCCCUUAAAAUGGAUGGCGCUUAAGUUGUAUACCUAUACAUUACCGCUAAAGUAGAUGAUUUAUAUUACUUGUGAUAUAAAUUUUGAAACUUUAGUGAGUAGGAAGGUACAAUGGUAUGCGUAGAAGUGUUUGGCGUAAGCCUGCAUGGAGCUGCCAUUGGUACAGAUCUUGGUGGUAGUAGCAAAUAAUCGAAUGAGACCUUGGAGGACUGAAGUGGAGAAGGGUUUCGUGUGAACAGUGGUUGAUCACGAGUUAGUCGGUCCUAAGUUCAAGGCGAAAGCCGAAAAUUUUCAAGUAAAACAAAAAUGCCUAACUAUAUAAACAAAGCGAAUUAUAAUACACUUGAAUAAUUUUGAACGAAAGGGAAUACGGUUCCAAUUCCGUAACCUGUUGAGUAUCCGUUUGUUAUUAAAUAUGGGCCUCGUGCUCAUCCUGGCAACAGGAACGACCAUAAAGAAGCCGUCGAGAGAUAUCGGAAGAGUUUUCUUUUCUGUUUUAUAGCCGUACUACCAUGGAAGUCUUUCGCAGAGAGAUAUGGUAGAUGGGCUAGAAGAGCAUGACAUAUACUGUUGUGUCGAUAUUUUCUCCUCGGACCUUGAAAAUUUAUGGUGG
rnacentral:rRNA from 1 species